UCACCUGCCAUCAUGAGAAGAACAAAAAAGAAAUAAUAAAAUUAAAUAAGCAAUAAUGUUUUUCCACUGGCUUGUGCUUUAAUGCAGUUUCGGUGUGGUUUUGAUCGUUUUUAUAGUCAAAAUCGCUGAAAUCCUGUAUUUCAAAUACAAAGGAGAGACGACAGGUGAGGCAGCGCGGGGCCGUGGACUGAGCGCGUGCACCUGGCGCGUGCUUGUUUCCAUUUUUAUGUAUGUUUCCAGUAUCCUGCUUGACGACACUUUCAUCAUACGUCUUAGUUGCCAUAGUGAUCGGUAAUGUAUUGCACGUAUGUGUGUGAUUGAUCGGACAAAAAUCCACAAAGGAAAAGCUUGUCGUGAGGCAGGCAGUACCUCUGCCUCACAGACGGGGGCGAUAGUGAGCCUGAAGGUCGGGAGUUUAAUACGCGGUUUACUCUUGCUAAAGUUAAAACAACAACAACCAAACAAUCCAACACACUGUUUUUGCGCUAGCUUGAAUGGAGGGUUUUAGAGGUUUAAUAAAAACUGAAGCAGACCUCGACGGCGGACCGACGAGGUCUGCUUCAAACAAACGGCAGUAAGUCGGUCUUUUAAACGGGGUGGAUUAGCCGAAAAGAUCGGCUUUGUGGCUCUGCCGCAAAAACCCGCCUUUUUGCUUUCCCUGCCUUUUGUUCUCUACGUGUGACAAUGUCUGGACCCAAGCUGGAUUCGGUGAUUUGAAAAACUUGCCAAGAAGUCUCAGCAAACAUGAACGAUCGACUGCUCACAUCCAAAGUCUGAUUUCUUUAAAAGCCUUUGGAACCUCACGGAUUGAUGCGACGCUGAAUGAACGACGGAGACUUCAGCAUCCGCGAUGCUAAGAAAUUCAACGUUAAAAGUGAGCUGGAAAAAGCAAACGAUGACGUGCAGCACAUCCGACGCCAAGUCAACAGCAGCUGAACUGUACAGGAACGUGUCACACCUGAAAGUCCGAAGGGCGAAUCAGAGACGGCGAGGGGGCAGGUUAAAGUCUGGAACAGCAGGUACCGUAAAUCCUCUAAUAGUGGACGCUUUUCUAACAACCUUUGAUUUUCUACAUUUCUCUCACUGUCAUCAAAUCCCAUUAAAAUAUUGAAAGACAACAGUUUCUUCUUCCUCUGUGCUCCAGUGAUGUAAAAAUCCCACCAACGAGGCACACUGUGUGAACACACACACACACACACACACACACACACACACACACACCGGGCACCAAAUAAGGAUUAAUCCACUGCUGAAAAUAGUCCCCAACAAAUGCACUUACUUCCUCCAGUCUGUCUGAUGAUAAACCAGUGGAAAAGUCAGACUUUUUGUUUAAGGUGUUUUAAAAGGUUUACAUCUUCAGUAUGAGCCAAUGAGCUUCAAGCUGAGAGCCACAAACAGGAAGUCAGAAAGUAUUUGGAGGCAAACUAACAAAUUGUCAGUUUUGCUCCUUUGUGGGAUUUGCUGACAGUAAGAAAAAUACAAACACCAGCCUUUGCUUUAGCUGCUGUUCAUGGAACUCAACACUUCCUGUACAGACUUCAAAAUAAAAGUUUGGAGUUUGCAGUGAGAAACUCAGGCUAAAAAAGAACUGCUGACCAUGUUGAUAAUUGAUCAAUCAAAUGUUUAGUUCUCUAAUGUGAGGAUUUUUCAUUCAGGAACAGUUUGACUGAUUUCUGUCAUUUCAUAAAUGAAAUUAUUUAUCAGAUUAUAGAUUAAUCAAUAGUGCUAAUAUUUGUUAACUAAUCAUGAUUACUAACGUUCCAACAUCUCAAAGUGUUCCUCAUAGUUCAGUUUAUUGGAUCAUCUCCUGCAGGUAUAAUUCAUUCAUAAAAACUUGAUGUAUUGCAUGGCUUUCUGUUAGCACAGAAUGGAGUAAAAACUUGUUUUCUUCUACACUAAACUCACAGCGAUAAUCAGCCUGAACCAGACAUGACGAACUGAUGGAGGACGCUUGGAGUCUUCACUGAGAGCACGAAGAAGCAGCAGGACGUUAAGAGGACCAACGGGACAAAAUAAAAGCCUGCGUGUCUCUUCGCCUGAGGUGAAGAAAAGGUCCUGCCCGCUAUGUGAGAAUUUACGGUAUUUGUCACACGUUAACAGCAGUCUGUGUGUUAAAAAGCGUCUGUACAGAGUAAGUGAAGCGUUUUCCUCUGUUCAGUCAAUCUUCAUAACUGAGGAAACAGUCAAACUUUAAAAGUGUCACAUUUCUCAAAGAAAACCAAAAAAAUGGCAAUUUUAUUGCCAAAGAGACCAAAAAAAAAAAAACCAAAAACAUCCAAGCACCAUAUUUAUACACCAUCGACACUCGACAUCCAGCGCAGGGAAAACCAUAGAAAAGAUUCAUUUGAUCGUUCACAUUUGCAUAAUGUUUUAUAUUGGUCCAUCCGUCGUCACGGCGAGCUUCUGGUCUGCUUUCUUUUUUUCUUUUUUUUUUUUUACCGUAAUGAUGAAAAAAGACAAACUAGGAAACUAUCAACAUGCAUGAAGCCUUACUGGGUGUCAGAAGAUGAGAAACGAAAAAGAGAAACAGGCACUGACCACCAACUACAGCAUAAGCAGUGAAAGCUUCACUUCAGGAUAAAAAAGAAUUUCGAGUGUACAUCACCAUAAAAAUGACACCGACGACGCUCAGAGCAGGAGGGAGGACGACCACGUCUUCUCAGGGACGUUCAACAAACUGCUUUUGGCAACAUUACAAGCGUUUGGGUUGUUAACAAAACCAAGUGUGCAAAAUUAAAAAAAAAAAAAAAUAUCCAAAGUGUCAAAUCAUGAAACACUCUAAGAUCCAGCUCAGUAAAAACCUGUACACCCCCCCCCGAUUCAGGACAAAUUCAAAACUUCUUUCAUAUCCCGUCCUAUGCAGGGUCGGCGUCCGGGCGACGGGCGGGAGCGACCCGGACGCGUCGCUCACAUUCACGCCUACGGGCAAUUUAGAGUCGCCAGCCAGAUGCGCCCGUCAACAUCCCGCUCAUUUAAAAACUACAAGAACAAAGACCCCAAAAUGUGCAUAAUUGUGUUAAGUAUAAUAGUAAAAGUACAUGGAAGAUUUACUGUGUCGGCGUCUUUAAAGGCCGACCUCGUGACCCUGUUCCCAAUAAGUGACUGAGGACAAGAAGAUUUUAGGUAGAAAUGAUAAAAGGUGCCAUCACCGCAACCGCUUCAUGAAAAAGAGAGAGAAAAAAAAUAAAAUUUAACAUCUGUGAGUCAUGUCAUCCGCUAUACACGAUCGUCUGCAGUUUUUUUGUCGUUUUUAAACUGGUUUUCUCUAUGAAAGCAGAGCCGGCUGGAUGCUGCCGCUGCGUACGCCAACGCAAGAUCGACGGCGCGUUUGUCGCAUUUACAGUAAGAAAAG